rnacentral:rRNA from 1 species
AGGACGAACGCUGGCGGCGUGCUUAACACAUGCAAGUGGAGCGACGAACCAGGGCUUGCCCUGGGGCAGAGCCGCGAACGGGUGAGUAACACGUGGGUUACCUGCCUCGAUGACCGGGACAACCCGAGGAAACUCGGGCUAAUACCGGAUGUGCCCGCAAGGGGAAAGGAAGCUUCGGCCUCCGCAUCGAGAUGGGCCCGCGGCCCAUUAGCUUGUUGGUGAGGUAACGGCUCACCAAGGCUUCGAUGGGUAGCUGGUCUGAGAGGACGAUCAGCCACACUGGGACUGAGACACGGCCCAGACUCCUACGGGAGGCAGCAGUGGGGAAUCUUGCGCAAUGCGCGAAAGCGUGACGCAGCAACGCCGCGUGGGGGAAGAAGGCUUUCGGGUUGUAAACCCCUUUCAGUUGGGACGAAGCUCCGUCGGUGAAUAGCCGGCUGGAGUGACGGUACCUUCACAAGAAGCACCGGCUAACGUACGCGCCAGCAGCCGCGGU